ensembl:lncRNA
GACAGGCCCGGGAGAGCAGCGCGGAUGGAUCCAACAUGGCGGCGCCGAACCUGAGCCGAGAGAAGAGCCCUGGGAGAUUAAGUUUCUUGCAAAGAUGUUAUUCCUGUCAGAAACUAGACUGCCAUUUCCAUUUCAAGAUAAUUCUUCUACCCAUUCUUUGCUUUGGUAAGUCAAAGUACUUUAAAAAGCUAGGAUUGUCAUUUCUGGAUGGGAGAGUCUAGAUUGCUUAGGCACAGAAACACAAUAGAGUAACCUAUCAAGAAGAAACUGUCUGGGUACAAAUAGACUCUUAUUGGCUCUUAC